rnacentral:RNase_P_RNA from 1 species
UGAGUUGGUCAGACAAUCGCUGGUUUAUUGAAGCCCUUAACCGUUUAAAAUGAAAAUGGAGAACGAUCUAGUGGGACAAGUAAAUGAGAGGAAAGUCCGGGCUACAUAGGGCAGAGUGCCAGAUAACGUCUGGGAAGCGUGAGCUUACGACAAGUGCAGCAGAGAGCAAACCGCCGAUGGCUUGUAAAAAAGCACAGGUAAGGGUGAAAGGGUGUGGUAAGAGCACACCGCGUAUAUGGUAACAUUUUACGGCAGGGUAAACUCCACUCGUAGCAAGACCAAAUAGGAACUCAAUGAGCGGCCCGUUCAGAGUUCGGGUAGGUUGCUUGAGCGUUUGUGCGAAUAAACGCCUAGAGGAAUGAUUGUCCACGACAGAACCCGGCUUAUCGACCAACUCUUUAU